GAACGAAACACCUUAUUUGAUUUUCUUCGGAACUGAAGAUUUGGUGAUUGAGUGGCGGACGGGUGAGUAACGCGUGGGUAACCUACCCUGUACAGGGGGAUAACAGUCAGAAAUGACUGCUAAUACCGCAUAAGACCACAGCACCGCAUGGUGCAGGGGUAAAAACUCCGGUGGUACAGGAUGGACCCGCGUCUGAUUAGCUGGUUGGUGAGGUAACGGCUCACCAAGGCGACGAUCAGUAGCCGGCUUGAGAGAGUGAACGGCCACAUUGGGACUGAGACACGGCCCAAACUCCUACGGGAGGCAGCAGUGGGGAAUAUUGCACAAUGGGGGAAACCCUGAUGCAGCGACGCCGCGUGAGUGAAGAAGUAUCUCGGUAUGUAAAGCUCUAUCAGCAGGGAAGAAAAUGACGGUACCUGACUAAGAAGCCCCGGCUAACUACGUGCCAGCAGCCGCGGUAAUACGUAGGGGGCAAGCGUUAUCCGGAAUUACUGGGUGUAAAGGGUGCGUAGGUGGUAUGGCAAGUCAGAAGUGAAAACCCAGGGCUUAACUCUGGGACUGCUUUUGAAACUGUCAGACUAGAGUGCAGGAGAGGUAAGCGGAAUUCCUAGUGUAGCGGUGAAAUGCGUAGAUAUUAGGAGGAACAUCAGUGGCGAAGGCGGCUUA
rnacentral:rRNA from 1 species